rnacentral:rRNA from 1 species
AUUGAACGCUGGCGGCAUGCUUUACACAUGCAAGUCGAACGGCAGCGCGGGCUUCGGCCUGGCGGCGAGUGGCGAACGGGUGAGUAAUGCAUCGGAACGUGCCCAGUAGUGGGGGAUAGCCCGGCGAAAGCCGGAUUAAUACCGCAUACGACCUGAGGGUGAAAGCGGGGGACCGAAAGGCCUCGCGCUAUUGGAGCGGCCGAUGUCGGAUUAGCUAGUUGGUGGGGUAAAGGCUUACCAAGGCGACGAUCCGUAGCUGGUCUGAGAGGACGACCAGCCACACUGGGACUGAGACACGGCACAGACUCCUACGGGAGGCAGCAGUGGGGAAUUUUGGACAAUGGGGGCAACCCUGAUCCAGCCAUGCCGCGUGCGGGAAGAAGGCCUUCGGGUUGUAAACCGCUUUUGUUCGGGAAGAAAUCCUCUGGGCUAAUACCCCGGGGGGAUGACGGUACCGGAAGAAUAAGCACCGGCUAACUACGUG